AGCAGCCGCGGUAAUUCCAGCUCCAAUAGCGUAUAUUAAAGUUGCUGCAGUUAAAAGCUCGUAGUUGAAUUUCGGGAUCAAUAUGUCGGUCGUGCCUCGGUACGCACUGGUUUAUUGGUUUCUCCCUUCUGACGAACCAUGAUGUCAUUAAUUUGGUGUCUUGGGAAAUCAGGACUGUUACUUUGAAAAAUUGAGUGUUUAAAGCAGGCUCACGCUUGAAUACAUUAGCAUGGAAUAAUGAAAUAGGACGUUUGAUUCUAUUUUGUUGGUUUCUAGGAUCGACGUAAUGAUUAAUAGGGAUAGUUGGGGGCAUUAGUAUCCAAUUGUCAGAGGUGAAAUUCUUGGAUUUAUUGAAGACUAACUACUGCGAAAGCAUUUGCCAAGGAUGUUUUCAUUAAUCA
rnacentral:rRNA from 1 species